rnacentral:rRNA from 1 species
UAGGGAAUCUUCGGCAAUGGACGGAANUCNGGACCGAGCAACGCCGCGUGAGUGAAGAAGGUUUUCGGAUCGUAAAGCUCUGUUGUAAGAGAAGAACGAGUGUGAGAGUGGAAAGUUCACACUGUGACGGUAUCUUACCAGAAAGGGACGGCUAACUACGUGCCAGCAGCCGCGGUAAUACGUAGGUCCCGAGCGUUGUCCGGAUUUAUUGGGCGUAAAGCGAGCGCAGGCGGUUAGAUAAGUCUGAAGUUAAAGGCUGUGGCUUAACCAUAGUACGCUUUGGAAACUGUUUAACUUGAGUGCAAGAGGGGAGAGUGGAAUUCCAUGUGUAGCGGUGAAAUGCGUAGAUAUAUGGAGGAACACCGGUGGCGAAAGCGGCUCUCUGGCUUGUAACUGACGCUGAGGCUCGAAAGCGUGGGGAGCAAACAGGAUUAGAUACCCUGGUAGUCCACGCCGUAAACGAUGAGUGCUAGGUGUUAGACCCUUUCCGGGGUUUAGUGCCGCAGCUAACGCAUUAAGCACUCCGCCUGGGGAGUACGACCGCAAGUU